UACACUCCUACGGGAGGCAGCAGUGGGGAAUUUUGGACAAUGGGGGCAACCCUGAUCCAGCAAUGCCGCGUGAGUGAAGAAGGCCUUCGGGUUGUAAAGCUCUUUUGUCAGGGAAGAAACGGUGGUGGCGAAUAACUACUACUAAUGACGGUACCUGAAGAAUAAGCACCGGCUAACUACGUGCCAGCAGCCGCGGUAAUACGUAGGGUGCAAGCGUUAAUCGGAAUUACUGGGCGUAAAGCGUGCGCAGGCGGUUGUGUAAGUCAGAUGUGAAAUCCCCGGGCUCAACCUGGGAAUUGCAUUUGAGACUGCACGGCUAGAGUGUGUCAGAGGGGGGUAGAAUUCCACGUGUAGCAGUGAAAUGCGUAGAUAUGUGGAGGAAUACCGAUGGCGAAGGCAGCCCCCUGGGAUAACACUGACGCUCAUGCACGAAAGCGUGGGGAGCAAACAGGAUUAGAAACCCUAGUAGUCC
rnacentral:rRNA from 1 species